GACGAACCGUGCGAACGAUCAUCGGAAUCACGGGGCUUAAAGGGAGCGUCGGCGAGCUAACAAGUCUGGGGUGAAAUGCCACGGCUCAACCGUGGAACUGCCUUAGAUACUGUCGGCCUCGAGGGAGAUAGGGGCAUGCGGAACUGUAGGUGGAGCGGUGAAAUGCGUUGAUAUCUACAGGAACUCCGGUGGCGAAAGCGGCGUGCUGGAUCUCUUCUGACGCUGAGGCUCGAAAGCUAGGGGAGCAAACGGG
rnacentral:rRNA from 1 species